GGUUAAGUGACUAAGCGUACACGGUGGAUGCCUGGGCAGUCAGAGGCGAUGAAGGACGUACUAACUUGCGAUAAGCGCAGAUAAGGCAGUAAGAGCCGUUUGAGUCUGCGAUUUCCGAAUGGGGAAACCCAACUGCAUAAGCAGUUACUGUUAACUGAAUACAUAGGUUAACAGAGCAAACCGGGGGAACUGAAACAUCUAAGUACCCCGAGGAGAAGAAAUCAACCGAGAUUCCGGUAGUAGCGGCGAGCGAACCUGGAUUAGCCCUUAAGCACUCGGUGAAGUAGGUGAACAAGCUGGAAAGCUUGGCGAUACAGGGUGAUAGCCCCGUAACCGACGCUUCAUCGAGCGUGAAAUCGAGUAGGGCGGGACACGUGAUAUCCUGUCUGAAUAUGGGGGGACCAUCCUCCAAGGCUAAAUACUCCUGACUGACCGAUAGUGAACCAGUACCGUGAGGGAAAGGCGAAAAGAACCCCUGUGAGGGGAGUGAAAUAGAACCUGAAACCGUGUACGUACAAGCAGUAGGAGCACCUUCGUGGUGUGACUGCGUACCUUUUGUAUAAUGGGUCAGCGACUUAUAUUCAGUGGCAAGGUUAACCGUAUAGGGGAGCCGUAGCGAAAGCGAGUCUUAACUGGGCGCUCAGUCUCUGGAUAUAGACCCGAAACCGGGUGAUCUAGCCAUGGGCAGGUUGAAGGUUGAGUAACAUCAACUGGAGGACCGAACCGACUAAUGUUGAAAAAUUAGCGGAUGACUUGUGGCUAGGGGUGAAAGGCCAAUCAAACUCGGAGAUAGCUGGUUCUCCCCGAAAGCUAUUUAGGUAGCGCCUCGGACGAAUACUACUGGGGGUAGAGCACUGUUAAGGCUAGGGGGUCAUCCCGACUUACCAACCCUUUGCAAACUCCGAAUACCAGUAAGUACUAUCCGGGAGACACACGGCGGGUGCUAACGUCCGUCGUGGAGAGGGAAACAACCCAGACCGCCAGCUAAGGUCCCAAAGUAUUGCUAAGUGGGAAACGAUGUGGGAAGGCUCAGACAGCUAGGAUGUUGGCUUAGAAGCAGCCAUCAUUUAAAGAAAGCGUAAUAGCUCACUAGUCGAGUCGGCCUGCGCGGAAGAUGUAACGGGGCUAAGCAAUACACCGAAGCUGCGGCAAUGUCUUUUAGACAUUGGGUAGGGGAGCGUUCUGUAAGCCGUUGAAGGUGAAUCGUAGGGUUUGCUGGAGGUAUCAGAAGUGCGAAUGCUGACAUGAGUAACGACAAAGGGGGUGAAAAACCUCCUCGCCGGAAGACCAAGGGUUCCUGUCCAACGUUAAUCGGGGCAGGGUGAGUCGACCCCUAAGGUGAGGCCGAAAGGCGUAAUCGAUGGGAAACGGGUUAAUAUUCCCGUACUUCUGACUAUUGCGAUGGGGGGACGGAGAAGGCUAGGUGGGCCAGGCGACGGUUGUCCUGGUUCAAGUGCGUAGGCUUGAGAGUUAGGUAAAUCCGGCUCUCUCUAAGGCUGAGACACGACGUCGAGCUACUACGGUAGUGAAGUCAUUGAUGCCAUGCUUCCAGGAAAAGCCUCUAAGCUUCAGAUAGUCAGGAAUCGUACCCCAAACCGACACAGGUGGUCGGGUAGAGAAUACCAAGGCGCUUGAGAGAACUCGGGUGAAGGAACUAGGCAAAAUGGUACCGUAACUUCGGGAGAAGGUACGCUCUUGAUGGUGAAGUCCCUCGCGGAUGGAGCUGACGAGAGUCGCAGAUACCAGGUGGCUGCAACUGUUUAUUAAAAACACAGCACUGUGCAAAAUCGCAAGAUGACGUAUACGGUGUGACGCCUGCCCGGUGCCGGAAGGUUAAUUGAUGGGGUUAGCGCAAGCGAAGCUCUUGAUCGAAGCCCCGGUAAACGGCGGCCGUAACUAUAACGGUCCUAAGGUAGCGAAAUUCCUUGUCGGGUAAGUUCCGACCUGCACGAAUGGCGUAAUGAUGGCCACGCUGUCUCCACCCGAGACUCAGUGAAAUUGAAAUCGCUGUGAAGAUGCAGUGUACCCGCGGCUAGACGGAAAGACCCCGUGAACCUUUACUACAGCUUGGCACUGAACAUUGAACCUACAUGUGUAGGAUAGGUGGGAGGCUAUGAAGACGUGACGCCAGUUGCGUUGGAGCCGUCCUUGAAAUACCACCCUUGUAUGU
rnacentral:rRNA from 1 species